rnacentral:lncRNA from 1 species
CGCUAAUAAUUAGGCUCAGAUUGACAUAGUCAGGAUGCCGCGCGCGCGUUCCUACCUAGCUAGUAGCUACACACACAAAAAGUCAAGCUUUUAUUUCUCCGUCUCUCAACAAGAGAACUUAAUUUGGGGGAUUACAUGAUGCUCUUCUCUUUGCAUGUGCUUGUUGAUUAACUUGAUGCACUGGAAAAUGCAUGCAUAUACAGGACCGAGUGUGGAAUUCUGGGCCGUAAAAAUCAGUUUUUUUUUAAAAGAGCCGUAAAAAUCAGUUGCUGUCGCAUAUAUAUAGCAAUGACAUACGUAUAUAGGAGGAGUUCAAAAAAGAAGAGGAAAAAAAAAGGCUUACACGGUACAGUAACUGGGCCGGCUCAGUAGUGAGAGACUCGUGAUAUACGACGGGCCCAACAAGGUACUUACUCAAGGAAAAAAAAACUGAGAGAAGAAAUGUGCGGCCC